AAUCAUAGUACCUGUGAAGAUGCAGGUUACCCGCGACAGGACGGAAAGACCCCGUGGAGCUUUACUGUAGCCUGAUAUUGAAAUUCGGCACAGCUUGUACAGGAUAGGUAGGAGCCUUUGAAACGUGAGCGCUAGCUUACGUGGAGGCGCUGGUGGGAUACUACCCUAGCUGUGUUGGCUUUCUAACCCGCACCACUUAUCGUGGUGGGAGACAGUGUCAGGCGGGCAGUUUGACUGGGGCGGUCGCCUCCUAAAAGGUAACGGAGGCGCUCAAAGGUUCCCUCAGAAUGGUUGGAAAUCAUUCAUAGAGUGUAAAGGCAUAAGGGAGCUUGACUGCGAGACCUACAAGUCGAGCAGGGUCGAAAGACGGACUUAGUGAUCCGGUGGUUCCGCAUGGA
rnacentral:rRNA from 1 species